CGUACACAGACUCAGAGUGGCGGCACUAACUCCAUUAAUGCCUCGGGUGACAGUACUGUAGCAGGGAACACCAUGGUUGGUGAACAGAACAAAUUUUACAAAAGGUGUAUCGAGUGCGGGAAAAAGGCGUCGAAAACUAACAGUGCUUCAAAGGUACUCAAGAAGAAGGCGCCAAAGACAGCGAAAAAGCCCAAGAAGAAGGUGCCAAAAACAAACCAAAAUCCUAAGAAGAAGAAGCCAACGACACCGGUAAAGCCCAAAUCAACACAAAAGAAACAUCCUAAAGCCAUAGCACCAAAAAGACGAAAGUCUAAAACUACUGGACGGGGGCGGCCUCAGAAAAAGUCAAAGAAAUAGAAAAAAAAUGAAUUUGGAUGCCUGUCAAUAUCUUGUCCAAUACAGCUUAUCAAUAUUUUUAACGUACAUACUUCCAGAAUUUCGUUAUGAUAAAAACAUUAACAUUUUAGUCGUAUCUCAAAGACAUUGCAUGUACAAUUUUUAGUUUUUUUGUUUUUUUGUACGAUACAUCUCUCAUGAAUGUCUUUCACACGAUUUAAAGGAACAUAACAAUAACGGUACUUAUGCAAUGGUAGUUUCUGUGUGAUGUUUCUGUGUCUUUAGUAAUCUGCAAUUUAUUAAAAACAUGAUCCCAUCAUCAUAAUCUUCAAACCAACCAAAUUAAAUGAAUUAGGUUGGUUUGAAGAUAAUGAAAAGUAAAUGUAUUAAGGAGUCACAUUUUGAAGAAGAUUUUGUUGUCAAGAAGGCUUGUAUAAUGUUGAAUUUCAUUACUUGUACUUAUAUAAAGUUAAAUUGGUUCAAGGCCAACGUGGUUAAUGACCUUGACUACUUAUAUAAAAAUCAAUGAUUAUGAAUAUUGAGAAAAUAGUAUCAAUUCUUCAAAUUUCAUUAAAGAUUUUGUAAAAUAUCAUGCACGCAAUAUGAUACAAAUCAUAUAACCUGGGCAAAGGCAUAAGGAAAUCAAGUUUUUUUUUAGUGGGGGAUAUAAAGGGAAAUGAAUGGGAUACAAAUAUAUAAACAACUGAUAAAUAGUGAGUCAAUGACGUUUCAAAUUGAUGACCAAUUUUGCAAUUUGUGUAGUAAUUUUCAAAGUUCUAUAGUUUUCCAUACUCUAAAAGAUAUAAAUCAUAACUUCCUUAUUAGUUAUCCAAUUUUACUCAAUUUUGGUGGCUCUGUUUCUCUUGUAUUUCUGCAUCUAUUAAAAGCAAAUUAUGUUUGGAGUAGACUUAGACUUUAAGCAUAACCUAAAACUUCACCCAUUGCGUACAAACUUUAUAUAUUAUCCAGGCUAAAUGAGGCCUUCUCAACUGGCGGCCCUUGCGGUCAGUUGGAGUGGUGCGCGACUGUUGCAAAUAUAUAUAUAGAUAUAUUUAGAAUUAAAAACACAGCAAAAUCAAGAAGCCGCAGUCAAAGUUGAGCCCAAAAUGUCUGCUUAACAAACAGGAAGAAAGGGGAAUUUAAUGGGUUUGUUCUCAAUUUUAAUAUACGACUCUAAACCUGAGCUCUAAAUAACAAUAAGCUUAAAAUGUGCUACCAAUGUUUACAUUACCGAUCUCUGGAAACAUCUUGUUUUUGUUUGUUUGAUUUUCACUUAAUUUUGACAUUUCCCGUGUUUAUUGCACCAAAUUAUACAUAUAAAAUCUACCUCCAGUGUAAUUGUACCCCAAAAUUGUACUAAUUUGUCCACAUCAAUAUGAAAUUAUGAUUGAUAUAUUUGUUGAAAAGAAAGGUGUUAAACAUGCCACAUAUGGGCCUUUAGAAAGCCCUAAAAUCCACCAGCUUUAGAGGGCUCCGCCCCCUGCACCCCCGAUGGGGCUUCGCCCCUUGACCCCGCCCCUUGUUGGCUUUGGCUCCCUCGCAGCACAGUCAAACAUACAGGUUAGCACUUCAAAUACAAAUUCUUUUCGUUUUGGCACUUCUAAUAACUAGUUGAGAAGGCUGCUAUACAUGUCGUCGUUUCAACAAUUGCAUCUAUCUAGAAGGAAUUGUUUAAGUCUACGUUUAAAUGAAAAAAUAGUAGGAGCUGAUUUAAUGUUAUCCUUUAAUAAAUUCCAUAUCUGUGGUCCGGUAUACUAUAAGUCUUUUGAGCAGUGACGGUUCUGGUCUGUGGUAGAUGAAACUGAUGAUUGUCUAAUGGGGUACUUGUGUACUUCAGUGUGUUUAAAAAAUAAUUGUAACAAUCUUCUGGUAACUGAUUUGUGUCCAAAUGGUACAUAAAACAACCGAGUUUAUACAAAUAUAA